AUUGAACGCUGGCGGCAGGCUUAACACAUGCAAGUCGAGCGGAGAUGAGGUGCUUGCACCUUAUCUUAGCGGCGGACGGGUGAGUAAUGCUUAGGAAUCUGCCUAUUAGUGGGGGACAACAUUCCGAAAGGAAUGCUAAUGCCGCAUACGUCCUACGGGAGAAAGCAGGGGAUCUUCGGACCUUGCGCUCAUAGAUGAGCCUAAGUCGGAUUAGCUAGUUGGUGGGGUAAAGGCCUACCAAGGCGACGAUCGGUAGCGGGUCUGAGAGGAUGGUCCGCCACACUGGGACUGAGACACGGCCCAGGCUCCUACGGGAGGCAGCAGUGGGGAAUAUUGGACAAUGGGGGGAACCCUGAUCCAGCCAGGCCGCGUGUGUGAAGAAGGCCUUAUGGUUGUAAAGCACUUUAAGCGAGGAGGAGGCUACUGAGACUAAUACUCUUGGAUAGUGGACGUUACUCGCAGAAUAAGCACCGGCUAACUCUGUGCCAGCCGCCGCAGUAAUAC
rnacentral:rRNA from 1 species